UACAGAGGUCCCAAGCGUUGUUCGGAUUCACUGGGCGUAAAGGGUGCGUAGGCGGUUGGGUAAGUCUGUCGUGAAAUCUCCGAGCCUAACUCGGAAACUGCGUCGGAUACUAUUCAACUCGAGGAAUGGAGGGGAGACUGGAAUUCUCGGUGUAGCAGUGAAAUGCGUAGAUAUCGGGAGGAACACCAGUGGCGAAGGCGGCUUUCUGGGCCUUACCUGACGCUGAGACGCGAAAGCGUGGGGAGCGAACAGG
rnacentral:rRNA from 1 species